GUCAUGGAAGGCAGAGCUAGGGUUGAGGCUCUGAUGUUGCUGAUUCCCACAUGAGGAGGAACCAAGGUGACUGAAGAUUUACCUGAUUGAUUUUCGGAUUGCCCCUGCAUAAGGAAGCAGAGGAGGACAGGUGGUGGCAGAGUUCCUGAUAAUGAAACAACAGGUCCUCCCUUGGGCUCAGUGGCCUCCUUCAUCAUGUUACUGGCUGCAGUGGACUUAGGAAUGCUGUGAACACAGGGGAUAGAGAAUGACUCAGAGCAGAAAUCUCUAGGCCAGUGGGGAGCAGGCGUUUCAUCAGGUCCAGAUGCAAAUGUUCAGUUGUCUCCUUGGCUCCUACCUGCAAUGGCAUGGGGAUGUCUUUUCCUUGGGAACGCACCUCUAGGCUCAUGGAGAGAAGAGCUGCACAGGUGUAGGGUGGACAGAGAUAACUGGAGCAACCAAGUGAAUUGCUAAGGUCUCCUGAUAAGGAGGUAAGAGGCUGGGCACUAAGGGAACCCAGGUUUGCAGAGUCAGGGUUCCGACUGCAGAAUUCUCCACAUUAGCGUGAGGAGCGCGUCUCCUUCGCGACAGCCUCCUGCCCAAAU